GCCGGAGUAGCUCAGGGGCAGAGCAAUACUUUCGUAAAGUAUGGGUCGCGAGUUCGAAUCUCGCCUCCGGCU
rnacentral:tRNA from 1 species